rnacentral:lncRNA from 1 species
UGACAAAAAGCCAUGCUUUUUGGUGCCGCCAUUACAUCUGACAUAGCGCUUGCAUCUUUUAUAUACUUUUUACCAGCUCCUCCAUCCAGUGCAACGAUGCAAAAUCAUCGACGCGAUUCUCAAGUAACGGCCGUGCCAUUAACAGAACCAUUUUCAUAGACGAAUAGCCAGGACUCCUUGCUGCUGAGACUCUUCUAUAGACACCCGGUCGAGUGUCGAGUCUUACCAACAAGUAUCGUGAAGACGAGUCCCGAGACUUGAGCGUACAAAGGAACCAGGCCAAUAAAUCUUUCGAGGAGAUAUCGACGGAUCGUUUCCAUUUCGCGGUCAUAUUUAUGCGCACGACGACAAAAACGUCGGCCUGAAGCGUAGCCACGCCACGCCGUUGCCUGAUGCAACGACGCGCAACUUCUCGAAUAUCGAAACUUCGGUUUUCGUUGGUUCGAUCCGACCGGAAUGUCGACAGAAUAGACGAGACGAAAAAGUAGAAGAAAAGCUCGUAACCGAUCGUCCGUGAGAUCAAAGACGUGGGAUAUCGAGUGUCGAAAUCAUUGGAUCGGCGAUUUUCAAACUUUCUCGUCUCAUCGAACGUAUGAACUAAUUGCUAGGAUCCUGCGACACGCGGAAAGAUACAAAGGCGGACGGAAGAAAGUUAUCCUCUUUCCUUUUUUAAUUUACUUAUCGUUUAUCGUCGUAAUUUGAUACAACUAGACUUGUUAAUUAACAAACGAUUAGUCAGCCACUAGUUUGCGAAUUCGUUUUCGUUUCAGUUUCGUAUACCUCGAUAGGCGAUGCGAAAGAUCUAUUUCGUUUGGGAAACUUGAAGUCUUCCUGCUUAUUGUGCUCCAUUAGUUAGACGCGAUCCCAUACUGUUGGGUAUUUUCAAGUUGCGCGUUGUAUCUUCGAAUUUGGUGCAGUAGGAAAGUGGAUGUUUGCUGGCGUUGCAAUGUUCACACGGUUCGGGAUUCUGUUGCUUGAUAAGACGCGAGUGUGUAACGUUGGAGUGAACUAUGCCGGUUAUUUGUAUCUGCACCUCAAAAUUUAUACUUGCGUGCAAUGAUUACGUUAAUAGUAACUUCGUUGUAUCGAACAUUUGUCACCGUGAUGAAGACAGAGCGCGAAUCCAAGCUUUUAGGUGGACGCGUUUAAAUUCCUUGUAGUAAUGGCCGCAUCGAGUAGGCAAGAUAAAAAAAAAA